GAUGGAACGCUGGCGGCGUGCCUAACACAUGCAAGUCGAGCGAACCCUUCGGGGUGAGCGGCGGACGGGUGAGUAACGCGUGGGUAACCUGCCCUGUACACACGGAUAACAUACCGAAAGGUAUGCUAAUACGAGAUAAUAUAUUUAAUCACAUGGUUAAGAUAUCAAAGCUCCGGCGGUACAGGAUGGACCCGCGUCUGAUUAGCUAGUUGGUGAGGUAAUGGCUCACCAAGGCGACGAUCAGUAGCCGACCUGAGAGGGUGAUCGGCCACACUGGAACUGAGACACGGUCCAG
rnacentral:rRNA from 1 species